UCAGGCUGCCCAAGCACCUCAGGCGCCGGCGGCGACAACAACCUGGCGCCAUUGGACCUCCAGACCCCUACCGUCUUCGAGAACAACUACUACAGGAACCUCCUCGCCAAGAAGGGGCUCCUGCACUCCGACCAGGAGCUCUUCAAUGGCGGAGCCACCGACGCGCUGGUCCAGUCCUACGUCGGGAGCCAGAGCGCGUUCUUCGCGGAUUUCGUGGCGGGCAUGAUCAAGAUGGGCGACAUCACACCGCUGACCGGCUCCAACAACGGACAGAUAAGGAAGAACUGCAGAAGAGUCAAUUAGCAGAUAGCUAGCUAGGGUCACUAAUUAAGACCCAUGCAUGGCUGUUGAACUGCAAGCUAAGUAAACACUAUGUGAGAUCGUCGCGUUGAUGUGCUCACAUGUCGUCUUUUUAUUUGGGUGAAGGAUGGAUGCAUGUAUCAGAUCACUUGUUGUUUAAUUAAUGCCAUUUCAGUCUUUGUCCAAUAUACUUUAAUCUGCAUGAGAAAAAAGGAGAAUAAGUACUAGCCAGCGUGUGAAGUGUAUAUAUGCGCAGCGCAACAAGUAGAAUAUGAAGAGUUUCAAACAUCCAAACUCAUAUAAUAAACGCAUAUCUUUACGAAAAGUUUCAAACAUCCAAACGCGCGCUACUACACACAUACUGAAAAAUAACUCAGAGCUGUCAAAGUUAGACAUGUGAUAAUCGGCUUCAAAUGCAAAAAAAAUUUAAAUAAAGCGUCACUUGGAGAGGAAGCUUAGCCAUAUAGCAUCUUAUAAAGCUAGAGUUGUCACUUGAAUAAUAUAAUGCUAGAGCCUACGACUAGACAGCUUUAGUUGUGCCUAACCAUAGCAUCCGAUCUCUGUAGUUCGUUGACAAGAAUGAUUGGAUCUCUCACCAUUUUGUUCUGCUUACUCUAGCGGUUCAGCAUAUGUUUAUUGCUUAGUAUUCCAACGUGUUGUUGAUUCGUCCUGCUGGUGUAGCUAGCUAGGAUCGAGUGCAGAGCAAGUUUUCCACCCGAGGGGUACAUGUAUGCUUGGAACAACAUAUGAUUGGAAAAGUUCGCGUCGACGCACUGGGUCCGGUUCGUUGGACUUAUUCUGCUGCCAUUGUCGGUUUCAAACUGCAAAUACUAUGCCUUUAUUUACUCAAAUAAUUCCUAAUUAAUUUACAGAUAUAAUGUAGCAAUUAUCAUCUUCUGUUGUUGAUUUAUCCUCAUGUGAUAGCAAUUGCCCUCCAAACCGAUCGAGCUGCUUCUAGAAAUUUUUUUGUGAAGCUAGGUGGUUUUCACUGUUUAGCUAUAUAUAUAUAAAUGCUCCUGUAUUUAGAUGUUGUUUAGAAUGGCUCCAAGUUCUAGCUCUAGUGCAGAUAUGUAGUUUGUAAUAUCAAUUUAAUUAGUUUUAAAAAUAUUUUUCAUCUAAAUAAUAAUUAAAAUGAUUUUUCUAAAUAUUUUCUAAAGGCUUAUAGCUCUAGUUUCACGAUUUUCUGGAGCACUUAAUGACCUACUCCACAAAAUUUUCUGGAGCUGAAACUAUACCAAACAUGACUUUGGAGGCGGCUCUAUUUUCAAACCGUCUUUAGAAACCGAUUUGUAAAGUUGCAUCUAAAAUUAGAAGUUGUACAAAAUUUGAGAUUUUCAAACGAUGUCCAACAAAAAACGAUCAAACCCGAAGUUCUUAUAUUUAAAAUUAAAUUUGAAUUUCUUAUAAUUUAAAUUUUACCUUUUAAACAAUCUAUGUGGAGAAAUGACCAAAACAAAAGUCGUAGAUCUUAAAAAAAUAGAUAACUUUAUAACUAGAAACUUUUUUUAUUUAAAAUCAUAUAUGCACAAAAAUAUAUAUUUAAAUUUUAUCACAUUUGAAAUUCAAAAUUUUCAAAUGACCUCAGUUAGAGAAAUGAUGGAAACAAAAUCUCAUAAAGCUAUGCCAUUUUGUACUAGCUCAUAACUUUUUUAUUUGAAAUUAUCAAUGCAUGUAAAAUCACGUUUUCAUCGAAUUUCUCAUGCUUGAAAUUUAAUAUUUUUAAAUGACUUCGGGUGAAGAAACGAUAAAACCAAAAGUUGUAUAUCUCGAGAAGUUAUACAUUUUGUAGUUGUAAACUUUUUUUUAUUGAUAUUCAUUUAGGCCGUAAAAACUUAUUUUAAAGCCAAACAAAGAUAAAUAAAUGAGAAGUACAAAUAUCCUAUUUAUUUGAACACAAGUAGUAGGUAAGUUUUCACUGCUGAUAGUUUGCAACAACUAUAGACCACUAGAAAGUGUGACUUGUAUAGAUUGCUAGCAAAUAGUAUACCUUGUAGGUCUGAGGCAUGCAUGUAUAAUGUAUUGGUCUCCAAUCCACCGAACACCCAACAAUUGCGGUGGAGUAAAGUCGUCACUUCCGGCACUUAGCAUUGAAUUCAUUUGACUGUAACACUAUAUAACUAACUACUUUCAGUCAUUAUCAGUCAUAACCUACUGUCCGCUCUUUGUUGUAUCUGGAAAAACGCGCCUCCGAACCUGCAAAAGUUUUCUUUACAAAAAUCUUCGUUAUUAGUUUGUUUAUUUGUUAAAGCUAGGGAGAGCGAGGUGUUCGUUCAGAAGAUAAAAAAAACUCUCUUUUUUAAUGGGAGGGGUGCCAAAUUCAAGCAGCUAGCUGUAUCUGUACGGGCGCGCAAAAACCACACACGACGACCGCCGCCGCCAGUCCAAUUUGCCAGCAGUGUGGCAAUAAGCUAGGUGAUAUAGCAUUUGCAUGCAAUGAGCUAGUGUCUUCGUCAACGAAAAACAGCCUCUUGGACAAGAUACUGGAGUACUUUUUAGUCACAUAUUACUUGAAUUUUCCACACAUGUGAACACCAUCUAGAACUGGAAUCAUAAAGUCUGUUCAAACUUGAUUUAAUCCGUACCGGUUUCUACUGUUUUUACAGUGUUUUAUCUCUCUAUAGAUUACAGCUACAGCAGUCCGAACAACUGGCCUUAAUCCGAAGCGAACAUUCUAUAAUGCACAAGUGAGAAGUGGAUAGACGGCGGCUCUAAUUACCCUACUGAAUUAUAGGGUCAAACGACAUAUGCAAUAUAUGCAGCAGUCUUAAUACUAGCUAGCUAGCUAUGCAUGUGAGAUGGGAUGUUUGUUUUUCUUCUUCCCUGUGGCGUUAUAUGUUGACACUUAUGGUUUGUUGAUUCUUCUCUGCUGCUACAAGGCAACAAUGAACGGAGUCAUAUGAUUGGGCCGGGUGACGAAAAGGCCUUGGGUUCGGUAUCUCUCCAAUCUGAUGCGAAAUUCUCUCAAGUGCAGUGCUAGCGUUUGCUGUUUUCUCCUGUCCGAGAUCCACCGUAUCUUAAUUAAUGAAGGUGCUCAUGCUCUCUCUUGUCAAAGAAAUUAAUAAACAGCUCAUUCGUAGGCUUGUCUUGUGUUUUCUCCCAGCAUGCAUGUAUAUAUACUUAGCUAGCUUGUUCGGUGGCGACCCACUGCACCUACUUUAAUUUCUUUAGAAUGCUAGCUCUUAGAACGAAGUGCCUAAAUCGAAUGUCUACUGCAAAUCAAGUUCAUAUGUAGGUCGUCAUCAUCCCAUGCAUAUACAUUGGCUCGAACUUGCUAAGUCAUCAUCCCAUGCAUAUAUAUCGACUGCCCAUUGCUUUUUAGCUGGCAAGCAACCUGUUUUUCAUUUGACAAAAGCGAACACAAGUAACUAGCCACACCAAACCCACUCAGCCUAGAUUAGAAUCUGCAUGCCUACGGAUCGAGCAGCUGCAGCUCCAUCGUCCAUCUUCUUUCUCUUUGACGACGCAACUAGCUAUAGCAGCUAGCCGACAGUGUAAUGCAUGCAUUAUAUUAUUGGUCAAUAACGACAGGAGAAGUAGAAGAGUAAAUUGGUCACCUGAUGCCUACCCACGAACUAAUUGGUGAUCAACACCAAAUCUCUCUCACCACAUCAGCGACAUUCCAUCUGUCUAGCUAGCAAUAUAAUUUCCCCUGAUGAGAAAAUGGAAACUAAAGCAUGUCCACUCCCAAGCCUUUCAGUACCUAUAGAAUAAGAGAGAAUGUGCAUUCAACUUUUCCUUUUUAUUUUGGUCUAGCUAGGUUGGCAUCAUCCAACACACACAUUGAAAAAAUGUCGCAUAUCCCUUUCGAGUUUCAACAAUUCUAGUACUAUACCAUCAGUGCACGCAAACAUGUAGCUACCAUUCUGGUUCCCAAAAGCAACUUUGAGUCAAACUGAGCUGCCUCCUUUUCCGGCACAAACAUAUAACACAUUAACAGCUCUCGAAUUUAUGAGAUGCCUUCUUUGUUUGUUAACGCUGUUGUUCCUAGGAAGAAGAUGAUGGUAUUUAUGAAAAUGACACAGAAUAUCUGGUAUCCCUCCUCGACUUCUCGAUCACUGAUCGAGUUCUCCAACACAUCCGCUUGACUUGGUUAAUUAACCACCGUCUUAACUCGGCCAACACGGUCUAUUUCUUGAUGUAUUUUUGCACUUGUCGAUGUCCUUAGAUGUCACCCACCACGGUUAUUCCUUCGGCCUCACUAAUCCCUGACAAUCCAUUGGCACGGACCCGUUUGACCUUCAUCUUCACUGUGGACCACCGCUUCUACACUCCACACACCCAUGCACCACAAGCCAAGAGAUAUAAAAUGUUAGGUAUCCAUCCACAACGUGUGCCACUGCUGGUACUCGACUGCUCGACCACUAAGUCCUCAGGCGGAUCCGUUUGACUUAGUUAACCACCAUGUUUUAACUAGGUUAGUUACUUCUUUGUAUACUCACUAUACCACAACCUAGCAAUAACGACUUACUUACAGUCGGUAUAAACCGUUAUAGCAACAUACUAUCAGUCGCUAUAGAGUUAUACCGACUAACACUUUCUGACGCUGUAAGUGGCGUCGGCAUAAACCUAUAGCGACAGACAUGUUUAUACCGACGAACGGUUAGACGUUAAAAAGAUAUACCGACUAACAUAUUUAUCCCGACGGACAGUCUGUUAGAACUUAUACCGACACACUGUCUGAUGCGAUAUAUGCAUUUUUACCGACUAACAAUCAAACGCUACUAGAACUUAUACCGACACACUGUCUGAUGCGAUAUAUGUAUUUUUACCGACUACCAAUCAAACGCUACGGCUAUAUGAGCCUAAAAAAUAUAUUACUAGCCAUUUCCAAUUAUCAUCAACAUCAGAUAAUAAUUGCACUGCAUUCAUACAUAGCAAUUGUACUGCAUUCAUACAUAGCUCAUGUUGACAUAGCUCAUGUUUUCAUUCAUGACAAUAACAAUUGUACUACAUUCAUACAUAAAGUUCACAAGUUUGCUUUUGUUGUAAUAAAGAUCAAAAUAAGCAGCAACAACACUAAGUUUGGCUUGUGAAAGCUCAGAGAUACUAGCUAAUACAACCACAUGUUGGUUUCACAAUUUUUAAGUUCACUUGCAAAUUUCUCUUUUGGAGAAAAUACAAAACAAAAUAUGUAGCUGCAUCCAUCCAAAAGAACUUUUGAUCUUUCUUCUUGUAGCAUCCAUAGGCACCACCGCAAUCUGCGUGCUAUUGUCAUCAUGGAGUAAACAAGUGACUUACUACCUCUAGGACCUCCCUCCUGACAAAAUUAAAACCCAAAUCAUUAGUAGACUACUUAGAAAUCCAUUCCAAAAUAAACUAUAGAAUAGAUACCACCAUUGCUCCAUGAUUAAGCUAAAUAUACAAUAGUUGAACGCAACAGAACUGCAUGAUCACAACACCUUGCUGCUGCUUAUUGAGCUGCAUGAAUUUUAGAGAGCAGCUACUCUAAUUCCUGCAGAAACUUAAGCAAAAAUAAUGUAGCUGGACACAUUCCUGCUGAAUUUGGGAACUUAAGGAGCAUCAUGGAGAUGUAAACACCUUCUAACUAGUACCAGCCACAUACCUACUAAAAUCAAGAAUAUCUACUGAAAUCAGCCACAUAGCCAGAAGCAGUCAUAACCAAGAAUAUCUACUGAAAUUAGUGGUAGAUACCACAAAAUAGAAUUGUGGUACAAUGUCAAUCAUAUAUAUACCUGUAGCACUCUGGGAUGAUUUUGAUGUCUUGCUCACCUUUAGCUAUAUAAUCAUAGAAACCAUUAGUUAGAAAAUAUGCAAUCACCAUAUAUGAAAAAACAACAAAGAGAUAGCUUAUUACUCUCUUGUACGGCCAUGCGAUCGACAUUCGAUCAGCAUCACCCAUCUCCUCCAAAUAACCAUAUGGGCGAGGUAGAAGGGCAUCCCUUUUCAGCACAACAUUCACAACAACCUCACAAUAUUGCUUUCCUAGAGCAACUCCUCCUAGCACUGAGCUUGGAUUAGUUGAAAUAAUUGUUCCCUUAGCCACAGGAUGAUCUCUCAAUAUGGCAUAUAAGAUCACAUCCUUUCCAAUCUCAAGCAAACAAUGAAAUUAUAAGAAUAUAAUAAAUGUACAGAACCACUAGCAAAUGAGAAUUAGAAACUUUGAAGGAUGGAUGAAAAACUUACAAGUUCAGUGUGAAGAGGCAGACUUGCUGGGAUAGCUCUAGUGUUGCCUUGACAGGGCUGCACUACUGGGGUUGUAUUGGUCGUCUUGCUAGAGGGCUGCAUUGUUGGGGUACCAUUGAUAGGGUUGCCUUUAGAUGGAUGUACUGCAGGGGUAACACUAACAUGAUUGCUGCCAAGCAAGUUUUCACCCUCAUCAGAGAUUUCAUCCUCCACAUAAGCUUCAUCUUCAUGAAACUGAGCAAUAUUAUGUGUUUGAUCAAUAUGUUGUCCAGACCUCGUGUCCUAAAAUAAAUAUGAGGGUAAUAAGUAAUAAAUAUUCCGUAGAUUUCAAAAUGACUCUAAGAUGUUCAGCUACUUUACCGGAUGGUGUCGUGUAUUAGAACCAUCAUGCGAGAUGAUUUCCACAUCUCUCAUUUCAUGAGCCAUCCUUUGCUCCUGCAUUUUCUCCUCCAUUUCUGCUAUGCGUUGUUCUAGAGCAGCUUUCUCACGUUCAGCCUUUUUGUGGGCUAGGACUUCCAUUUGGAGUCUUGUGGGUGUGUAACUUCUCAAGCCCGGGGUACCAAUAUCUUGGGGAGUUGGUCCUAGACCCAAAACUCGGACACGUCCUCUUGGCUCUUUCUCUCCACAAACAGCAGCAAAAGCAUCACCUUCUUGAAUUGUUCUUUCCUUCAACUCUGGAUGGGCCUCAACAUAUUCUUUAAGUUUGUGGCACUCAUGACUCUUAAGUCCAAUUAUUUUCCUCUCAUUAACAUGUACAUUAUGUCGUAUAUCAGCUGCAUAACCAUCAGGAAACUUCACCCCUUUUAGUACUUGGCAAAAUAAUUUCCUCUCGGCAGGACUCAUUGAGUAAGGUGUUGGUGGUAAAUAAAGUUGGUCUUCUACUUCAAUAGGGUGAAGAUCACUUCUAAUACCUAGGGCCUGAAGGUCCAACCGAGAAUUCAAGUUAUCCUUUGAUUUCCCAUCUGUGCCCAGGAAUGUAUUAAUUAAGCUUUCACUCACAUUUUUCCCUAUGUGCAUGAUGUCAAAAUUAUGUCUCAGCAAUAAAUCUUUCCAGUAUGGUAGUUGAAACCAAAUAGAUCUCCUUUUGAGAAUGAGUAAUGGUUCCCCUUUCUUGCGUCUCUUGUUUGCCGGUUUCUUUCUAGAUGGAUCCUUGCCAAAAGUUUGAUUAAGAUCUUUAGUGCACUCUAAAAUUUGUUCUCCAGAAAGCGGAGUAGGUGCUGGCCUAAACUCAGUUUUACCAAAUCUAUCAAUGUCAAACCUAAAUGGAUGGUCAUCAAGCAAGAAUCUACGAUGAUCCAUAUAGCAAUUCUUGCUGCCAUUACUAAGUCUAAGUGAACAAGCGUGGUAGUUGCAAUCAGGACAUGCUGCUUCACCAGAUGUGACAGAUCCAGAUGUGUAUCCUAGACCUGGGAAAUCAGUAAUAGUCCAUAAUAGUGCAGCUCGCAACUUGAAGAAUUCACCCUUUGAAGCAUCAUAAGUUCUAGCUCCAUUGACGAACAUAUCUAGCAGAUCAUCAACAAGGGGUUGAAAAUAGACAUCCAUGUCACUACCAGGUCCAUUUCGACCAGGAAUCAACAAAGAAAGGAUGAAAUUUGAUUGCUUCAUGCACAUUGAAGGUGGAAAGUUGUACGGAAUACAAAUACCAGGCCAAACACUAUAGCUAACAUUCAUGGACCUAAAUGGAUUAAAGCCAUCAGUUGCAAAUGCAAGGCGAAUAUUACGGCUAUCUGCAGCAAACUCUGGAUGUUUGUUGUCAAAGUCCUGCCAUAGGGGUGAAUCUACUGGAUGUCUAAGUAAACCAUCUUUUUUUCGACCUUCAGCAUGCCAUCGUGUUAGAUUUGCUAUUUUGGAGGUCAAAAAUAACCUUUGGAGCAUUUUCUUUAUUGGGAAGUAUCGAAGAACCUUCUUUGGAACCUUAUACACAUGUUUCCCAUCUAGACUCUUCUUUAUUGAUUUCCAUCGUGAAACCUUACAUUUUGGACAUGAAUUCAGAUCUAAAUUCUCCUUCCAAUAGAGAAUGCAAUCAUUUUCGCAUGAAUGAAUACUUAUAUACCCAAUUCCUAUGGUUUUCACCAAUUUCUUAGCUUCAUAAAAAUUUUUCGGGAGUGUUGAACCCUCAGGGAGUGCAUCAUUAAGUAAAUCAAAUAGUAAGUUAAAAGAUCUAUCAGUCCAUCCUCCGAGGAGUUUGAUGUGGAGUAAUCUAAUCAGGAAACGUAGCUGCGUAUAUUUCUUGCAGUUUGGAUAUAACUCUUUGCUAUUUUCUGCAACCAACUUUUGAAUAGCAACUAGCUCCUCACAGGGGUCAACAAAAGAGCUUGUAUCCUCAAAAUCUCCUCUAUCAUCUAAACCAGUAGCUAAGUCUCUAAGCAAAUCAGAAAUGUCAUCAUCUUCAUUAGGUUCCUCCAUAACCUCAUUGUAAUCAUAGUUUCCAUGAUUCAUAACAGAGCUAGUCUCCCCAUGCAAGUUCCAUAUCGUGUACCCUUUUAGAAACCCAUCGCAUAUUAAGUGCUCACGUAUUUCACUUGCCUCUUUCCAAAACGAGUUAACACACUUUCUACAAGGGCAUAAAAUCUUGUUCCCUACAGCCGAAUUUCUAAAUGCAAAAGCCAAGAAGCUGUUUACACCUUGUAAAUAUGUCUUGCCGUGCCUACAUGCAUCAUCAUUUUCAUUCUUAGGUCAAAUUCCAUUUAAGCUAUAGAUAUCACAUUUAUAUUUGUGUUAUAAUGGAUUUGUACCUAGCAUCAUCAUUGAUCCAUGUCUUAUCCACCAUGGUUUAGGACUACUUCUUAGAAAUCAGCGACUGCAAUCAAAGUUAUAGAAAAAUAUAUUUCAGGUUAUCAACUCACAACUCCCUCCUUCCCCACUAAUUUACAUUUAAACAUUGUAGCAUAAUCAGUGACUGCAAUCAUAAUUUGAAGUUUUAAACAUUGUAGACAUAAAACUUGCCUGGGAUCGGACGACAGUACCGUAGCCGCGCCGGCGCUUCUCCGCUUGACUCGUUCCAGUGCGGUCGGCCUCGCUCCAGUAGAAGUGGGGCGCCGGCUGGGGACGGAUGUUGGCAGGGCGCGCAGUUAUUGGAGGAGGCUCUAGCAGGGCGCGCGGCUGGGCGGAUGAAGCUAUCAGGGCGCGCGGCAGGGGACGAUGGUUGACGUAGCAGGGCACGCGGCUGGGCCGGGGACGGGACGGCGGACUGCGCUCGCGUGGCUUGGGAGGAGACUGCGCGCGCGGCUGGCUGGGGACGGCGAACUUCACGCGCGGCUGGCUGGGGACGGCGGACUGCGCGCGUGGCUGCGUUGGGGACGGGAGCGCGCGGCCGGCCGGCUGGGGAGGAGCCGACGACGCGCGAAGUUGUUUGGGAGGAGAGUGCGCGCGGCCGGCCGGCUGGGGAGGUGACGGCGGUUGGCUGGGGAGGUGACGGCCGACCUGCUGGGGAGGUGACGGCGCGCGGCGGCUGGUUGUUUUGGCGACGGCUGCCCGGGAAGUAAUAGGGUUUUGGGCUUUAGGCGCCAACAGGCUGGAUAAAUUGCAAUGUUUUUUAUGGCGACUGACAGCGCGAUGCUAUAGGUAUGAAUUGCCGACUGACAACGCGACACUAUUCACAUAUAAAUAUAACGACUAACACUCAGUUGGAAUUUAGACAUAUACCGACUCACCAUCUGUGGCUAUGUAUACCGACUAACAAUUUGAUGCUAAUUCUCUAUUUAUAGCGACGGUCGUCAGACACUAAUUUGGUGUUGUGGUAUAGUGACUUUUGUACGUGUCGCAGUCAGCCACCACAAUUAGUCCUUCGGCUUCAACAGACCCUCAGUCCAAGCCUCGACAUCUGUUCUCGACAUCUGUUCUUUAGUGCUCUCAGUCCAUUGGCACCAAUCCACUUAACCUUCAUCUUCAUCGUCGAUCACCACUUUUGUGCUCUACACACCCGUGCACCACAAGCCAAGAGAUAUGUUGCAUAUAUAACUCAACACCCACGCUAUAGUUAGUCUAGGAAUUCAAUCAAAGACGAUCUAAUAGUUUUUGGCGACUUGAAAAACUCAAGGGUUUUUAGAACUUCAUUAAAAACUCUUCAAGAUGCACAUAUGACUAUUGUUAUAUUUUUUUAUAGUGCAAAAAAUAUAUAAAUUGAGUGUAAAGAUUUAUAAAUAGUCUACAUAUAUAUAGUUUUAAACACAUCGCAACUGAACACAUGCGUUGAGUAAAAAAACAUAUCAUAAAUUUCUAAUUGCUGUAUGCAUUGCAACUCAAAAUGAAAUGAAGCGUUUGCUAAUAAUCCUAUGUAUCCUAGCUACCAUGCUAAAACACACACGAAGUCCUUGUGUCCAGGCAACAUGCAUGUACACACUUCGUGAAGCUCGUCGUUGCAUUAUUGGCAAGGCAAGUGCUUUCACAGCAAUUUAAUUAACUUUGAAGCAAAAUGUCCCUCAUUGCAUCGCAUCUCGCUGGAUGACACUUGACUGUUGGGCAGGCAGCUAGCAUAUAAUCAAUCAACCAGCUUGAUUGGCGGAGGAUCAUCGGUUGCUUUUCAACUCAAAGUCCAACAAAGCAGCUUCAUUCAAUUAGUAGUAAUAUUAUACAUACAAAGUUGCUUAUAUAUGCUAAUUAACUACAAAAACCAUGGCCGCUCGCAUUGGGCUAUAAAUAUCAUCCAUGCUCGCUCACCAGCUAGCCCAUCUCAUUCUACAGGGAAGACGAAAACACACUGCAGCUGGAGCAGCACUGAUAUCGACCAUGGCUCCAGCAGCACCUGCAUCUGCGACAAAAUGCAGCAGCGGCAUCGUCAUCUCUGUGCUCUUGCCCCUCGCGCUGCUAAUGGCGGCCGCCGGCACCUCGUCGGCGCAGCUGUCCACGGGCUUCUACUCUUCCUCGUGUCCCGGCGUGUACGACGCCGUCAAGUCGGUGGUGCAGUCCGCCGUCGCCAGCGAGCAGCGCAUGGGCGCCUCCAUCGUCCGCCUCUUCUUCCACGACUGCUUCGUCCAGGUACGUUAUUACGUGUAUGGUGGUGUGGAUCGAUCGACCAUGUAGGUAUGCACGCAUGUUGUUGUGCUGCUUGAUCUGUGACUGUGAUCCGCGUGCAUGUAAUGUAUGUAUGUAUAUAUAGGGCUGCGACGCGUCGCUGCUGCUGGACGACACGCCUAGCUUCCAGGGAGAGAAGAUGGCCAACCCUAACAACGGCUCCGUGAGGGGAUUCGAGGUCAUCGACGCCGUCAAGUCCGCCGUCGAGAAGGUGUGCCCCGGCGUCGUCUCCUGCGCCGACAUCCUCGCCAUCGCCGCCAGGGACAGCGUCGUCAUCGUGAGUACUGCUGAGGUUCUGUGUCAACAAGAGUGACGGAUGAAUGCUGAUGCUGGUCUAUCCACAUGCAGCUGGGUGGUCCGACCUGGGACGUGAAGGUCGGGCGGCGGGACUCCACGACGGCGAGCUUCAGCGGCGCCAACAACAACAUCCCGCCGCCGACGUCGGGCCUCGCCAACCUCACGUCGCUCUUCGCCGCCCAAGGCCUCUCCCAAAAGGACAUGGUCGCGCUCUCCGGUGCGUACUAUUAUUCUCAUAUGCACGUUCUACAAAUUAAAAAAACUACGUAUUCUUUAGUUAAUUUAAUUUCUCAUAUAUAUAUAUAUAUAUAUAUAUAUAUAUAUAUCGUUAUAUUACAAGGAGGCAGGCAUAUAUACAAGAAUAUAGCAACAGCUACCCUUUCCAGCUGAAAGAUGGAGCUUAAAUAAUGUACCUUUACCAAAGUGACCUUAAAUUUAUAAAGAUGGAAGCCUAAUAAUAAUUUGAUAGCUCCGUUUUGACGACGUGGAAGAACAAAUUUUACACGCACACUACACAAAUUAAAUGAUUAGUGUUUGCCCAUGUGUGUUCUUCGUAUCACUACUAGACAAAUAUGUUAUAAAUUGUCAUCACAUGAAAGUUGGGCCAAAACAGUUAUAUAUGCGCGCUGUUAAAAAAGUUAAAAAAGAUGACAUUACCUCAUAUUGUCGGCAGGGAUUUUCACUGGCGGUUUUAUUACGUCAUAUUGUCGGCAGGGAUUUCAUCAUAUCGAUUUUCACUGGCGGUUUUAUUACGUCGACCGCCAGUGAAAAUCGAUUUUCACUGGCGGUCUUCAGUUACCCGCCUGUAAAAAUGAUGAUUUUUACUGACCUCUAGCACUGACGGUUACGAUAAACGCCACUAAAAAUAGGUUUACGACCGUCAGUAUAGAUCUUCUCUGUACUAGUGACAGUUAUAUGCGCGCUGUUAAAAAAGUUAAAAGAGAUGACAUUACCUCAUAUUGUCGGCAGGGAUUUCUUGUCGAAAAUUCUUUGCCCAAAAGCUUCAACUUUAUUCUAAUUAAUCCUGCCUCUAAUAACAAGAUAGCAACUUUACUGAACUUUCGACGGCUGCAGUGUCUCUUCCACCUAAUAUCUUAAUUCGACGAAAUACUAAAGCACAUGCAGGUUAGGUACACACCAUACAUGUGUGGUUAGCUUAAUUCAUUCCAAGAAUCAGAUACCUUUAUUUAUAUUCUCUCUUUUUUUUUACAAAUUUAUUUAGACAGCGAAAAACAAGACGACGCUUCAAAAAAGUUCAUGUGCUAAUUUAAUUAAGCGGCAAAUAGUUUUUAGAUCAUGCAUGUUUCUCUCUUUUGUUUGUGUAACAAUAUGCAUGCCUCUUCUAUCAGGAGCUCACACCAUCGGCCAAGCACGCUGCACCAACUUCAGAGCCCACGUGUACAACGACACCAACAUCGACGGCAGCUUCGCAAGAACAAGGCAGUCAGGCUGCCCUAGAUCCUCAGGCUCAUCAGGCGACAACAACCUGGCGCCAUUGGACCUUCAAACCCCGACCGUCUUCGAGAACAACUACUACAAGAACCUUGUCUGCAAGAAGGGGCUCCUGCACUCCGACCAGGAGCUCUUCAAUGGCGGAGCCA
rnacentral:lncRNA from 1 species